UACGUAGGGGGCAAGCGUUGUCCGGAUUUAUUGGGCGUAAAGAGCGUGUAGGCGGCCUGGAAGGUCAGCUGUGAAAACUCGAGGCUCAACCUCGAGACGUCGGUUGAAACCACCUGGCUAGAGUCCGGAAGAGGAGAGUGGAAUUCCCGGUGUAGCGGUGAAAUGCGCAGAUAUCGGGAAGAACACCCGUGGCGAAGGCGGCUCGCUGGGACGGUACUGACGCUGAGACGCGAAAGCGUGGGGAGCGAACAGG
rnacentral:rRNA from 1 species